rnacentral:misc_RNA from 1 species
GGCAAUUUUUCCUUCAUGUGAGUACAUAUUUAUGGCACUUUAGAGCUAACAAUCAAUGAAAUUGUGACAUAACAAUAGAGUAAUUUGACCAACAAUGUAAAAAGAAUGAUCAAUGAAACAAAAAAAUAAAGCUUCCAUAAGUUAAUAAAACAAGAAAAUAAUUCUUGUUAAUGGGACACAGCUAGAUUUGACACUUACUUAGCCUCCAAAAUUAGAGCUAAUUAUUUUUAUCAAACUCCAAAUAUGGAAAAUUAAUGCAAACUGGGUAU